ACCUGUGAAUAUGUGGCCGACUUUACUUAAGACGCCGAGGCGCUUUUUUCCUUCUCGAUAGCUUCUGAGCCGAGAAACAUUCAUUACUGAGGACACUGAACACCAGAAGGUCCACAGAAACACGAGACGAGGAACCCGAGAGAAGAAGACAGUUAAUAACUGGAUCACACCAUCACACUCUGAAGAUGUCCUCCAGUUGUAACUCCAUGUCUGGUUGCUAUAGCAACGAUAUCUUUGUAGAUAAGCAUGUGAUGAUGAGAGAUGAUGUCCUUCAUGAGAGCAGCGACGGAUUGAUCAGGAGAAU